ACUACGGGAGGCAGCAGUGGGGGAUAUUGCACAAUGGGGGGAACCCUGAUGCAGCGACGCCGCGUGGGUGAAGAAGCGCCUCGGCGCGUAAAGCCCUGUCAGCAGGGAAGAAAAUGACGGUACCUGAAGAAGAAGCCCCGGCUAACUACGUGCCAGCAGCCGCGGUAAUACGUAGGGGGCAAGCGUUAUCCGGAUUUACUGGGUGUAAAGGGGGCGCAGACGGCGAUGCAAGCCAGGAGUGAAAGCCCGGGGCCCAACCCCGGGACUGCUCUUGGAACUGCGUGGCUGGAGUGCAGGAGGGGCAGGCGGAAUUCCUGGUGUAGCGGUGAAAUGCGUAGAUAUCAGGAGGAACACCGGUGGCGAAGGCGGCCUGCUGGACUGCAACUGACGUUGAGGCCCGAAAGCGUGGGGAGCAAACAGGAUUAGAUACCCGAGUAGUC
rnacentral:rRNA from 1 species